GAUGAUAGACAUAUAUCUUAAAGGCACCAGAUCCCAUCUGAUCUUAGAAGUUAGGCAGGGUCACUUCUGAUUAGUGUUUGAAUAGGAGCCUUCUGGCAAAAAGCAAGUGCUGUAGGCU
rnacentral:rRNA from 1 species